rnacentral:rRNA from 1 species
CGGCGUGCCUAAUACAUGCAAGUCGAACGGUCUUUCUAUGGAAGCUUGCUUCCACUGAGAAGAUAGUGGCGAACGGGUGAGUAACGACGUGGGUAACCUGCCCAUAAGAGGGGAUAACAUCCGGAAACGGGUGCUAAUACCGCAUAGUUUUCUUGGUCGCAUGAUCGGGAAAGGAAAGACGGCCUUUGUGCUGUCGCUUAUGGAUGGACCCGCGGCGUAUUAGUUAGUUGGUGAGGUAACGGCUCACCAAGACGAUGAUACGUAGCCGACCUGAGAGGGUGAUCGGCCACAUUGGGACUGAGACACGGCCCAAACUCCUACGGGAGGCAGCAGUAGGGAAUCUUCCGCAAUGGACGAAAGUCUGACGGAGCAACGCCGCGUGAGUGAAGAAAGGUUUUUCGGAUCGUAAAACUCUGUUGUCAGAGAAGAACAAGUUGGAGAGUAACUGCUCCAGCCUUGACGGUAUCUGACCAGAAAGCCACGGCUAACUACGUGCCAGCCGCUGC